rnacentral:lncRNA from 1 species
CACCCGCCCAGCAGAGGCUGCCCAGCUGCAGCUUGCUGGGUGACUCCAAGCUCGGAAACCACCAGCCUAAGUUCUGGAGCACAGCCCAAGCAUGAAGUUCUGUCUGGGAGUAUUUUUUUCCUCCUACAGAAUCCAUGAAGUUUCAGUUUCCAGAGAAGGGCUCAGCUCUUGGGGUGUUUGGUUACUCAAGGCCUGCCUGCUGAGAAUUCCUAAGGAGUUUAGAAACACACCCAGGGCAUGGUGGAUGCUCUGGCAUCAGAAAUGCUGCCUGAACCUCCCCGCAGAAGGACGCGCCUGACUGCACUGCCCAGGCAAGGUGUGGAAACUCCCCAUCCCAGGGGAAGCAAUGCCCUCUUCUUGGGCACCUCUCAAGUGAGGCUUGAAAGAAUAAAAGAUCUCCAAGCUCUCUUUACAGUGGCCUUGCCAUGGCUCUCCAGGAGAAUGAAGGCCUCCCCUCUAAUACAGAAAACCCAGAUCUUGGGGAAAGCCUCUCCAGCUGAGCGCAGUUCAGGGGGACACUGUGUCUGAUGACUGCUGCCCAGUGAACCAGUCUCAUGGACGAGUCAGUGAUCCUCCUGACCCAAUGCUGGGGGGGCAGAACCUUACAGCCUCUGGGUGUGGCACCAAAGACCUCAUCCUGCAGAAUAGAACUGCCUGAAAGAACACCGUGCAGGCCAAUCUGAGUUACACAGUCCGACAGCCGCCACAUUAGCAAGAGCGAAAAGAGCCAGGCCAAAGUAAUAAUGUAUUCUAUGCAAUCCAUUAUAUAACAAUUUCAUCACAACAUGCCCUCAAUCUAACAAUUAUUAAUGGAAUAUUUUACAUUUCUUUUUUGCCCAUGUGUUUGAAAUCCACUGUGUAUUUUCCUCUUACAGCAUAUCUCGUUCCAGACAAACCACAUUUCCAGGGCUCAAAACCACAUGUAGGCAGAAACAGCUGUACUGACCAGCUUAGCUACAGAGGCUCUGAUUAUUAUUUAAGGAAAACUAUAUUGGAUGGUUUUUAUUUUGUGCUUUAUGGUUUUAAGGGUUUUCUUGGGUUUCUGCAAUGAACAUGAAUUAGGUUGACUGUGAAAAGGUGACUGUGGUUUGAAACUGAUCUACUGUGCUGCUGAUAGAAACCCUUUUAUUGUUUAAGGAAUAGUGGCCAGUUUAUCCGAUUUUCAUCUGCGCUGCACAAAUGUGAAGAAAAAAAGCCACUUUUGCGUGGAGGCCUGUUGGAGGCACAUUCCCAAAAUAUUUUGAC